GAACCUUGAUAACCUCAACGUUUGGCUUGAGAUCUUCAGAAUCUUCAGCUAAGUAACACAACUUCAGAAGCUUUCCAUUCUUCAAAAGCUUUAUGAUCAGAGUCACGUCCAAAAGCGCAAACUUAGAGAAUGUUGUAGCAGAAACAUAACGUCUCCUCAGGAGUAAAUCAACACAGAAGCAGAAAGAUCAUUACAUCAUCAACUUUGAACAUCU
rnacentral:lncRNA from 1 species